rnacentral:lncRNA from 1 species
CCCCUAGAAAAGAUAAGAUUCUUCUUCAACCUAAAACAAAAACCCUAGCGACCAAACAGAUCUAGCCGUCAUCUUCUCCAAGCAGCAGCCUGUCUCCCUCACCAACCCAUUCCUCUCCUGGUGAUGCUGCCAGCAACAGAACAACGGCAAACUCGCCGGAAAAUGCACAAAAACCAGAUGCAAAUCUCCACCUCCUCAACCAAAGAAUGGGACUGAAAUAGCCACGAAAAUCUCCACCACCACCAGCCCGUUUCAGCCACGAAAAGCUAUCACUUUAGCUAUGAGAAAGAGCAACCAAAAAGCCCCAACAAGACAGAGGAUCUCUGGAUCGAUGUACCCACAAAAGUCUUUGUUUUAAUAUCAUGGAUGUACUCACGUUAAGAUCAGUUCAUGCUUCUCUGUUUGAGUCAAACUUUGGUUUCAAAAAUAGAUUUCGUGUGAGAUCCAUUUGGAGUUGACGAGCGAGGUUGCUGGUUUGAGGUUCGUCGUGGUCGAAUUUGAGUUUGUCGAAUUUCAAUUUGUUGGUUUUAUUGUCAAUUUUCCGUCGCUUAGCAUUUUCAAGCUGUCAAACAAUCAUAUUUCAGAUUUGUUCAAAGUCUAUUUCUCCCUUUCUCCUACUAUUUUGCCUUAGUUCC